UUUUAGUUCAGGAUAAAAUUCUGAAUAACAAACCCUUACUUUUCGCUAAAAGAUGAGCCUGUGUAGGAUUAGGUAGUUGGUAUUUGGGUAAAGGCCUACCAAGCCUAUGAGCCUUAGCUGUUCUGAGAGGUUGUACAGCCACACUGGGACUGAGACAAGGCCCAGGCUUCAUUUGGAGCCAGCAGUGAGGAAUUUUGGACAAUGAGCGAAAGCUUGAUCCAGCAAUACUACAUGAGUGAUGAAGGCUUUCAAGUUGUAAAACUCUUUGGUUGAGGAGGAUAAUGACAGUACUCAACAAAAUAGCCCCGGCUAACUUCGUGCCAGCAGCCGCGGUAAUACGAAGGGGGCGAGCGUUAUCCGGAAUGACUGGGCGUAAAGGGUCCGUAGGCAGCAUUUUUUGUUAGAGGUUAAAUAAAAAAGCUUAACUUUUUUCCGCUUCUAAAACGUAAAUGCUUUGAGUUUGAUAGGAGAUAGCAGAAUUUCACAUGGAGGGGUGAUAUCCGUAGAUAUGUGAAGGAAUACCAGAGGCGAACGCGGCUAUCUAGAUCAAUACUGACGUUGAGGGACGAAAGCAUGGGGAGCAAACAGGAUUAAAUACCCUGGUAGUCCAUGCCCUAAAAGAUGAGUGCUCGUGCUUAGAUAUUUUUAGGCACUU
rnacentral:rRNA from 1 species